AGAGAAAGAGAUAGAUAGAUACAUAGACCGAAAGAGAGAGAGAGAGAGAGAGAGAGUGCGUGAGUGUAUAAGUGAGUAAGAAAGAGACAGAAGAAGAGAGGGAUAUCAGAGCAAGCAACGCAACGGAAUCGCAGUACACAACAGGACGACUAACGAACGCGAGUGAUAUUCGCGCGAGUGCGCGAGAUUUUAACGAAUGACAGUGAGGAAUUAUCGAUACACAUCGUCGAUAGAGAUAGUUCCUCUAUGUAUUUCGUUGAUUCGCAUGAGAAUUAAAUAAGGGAUAUAUGGAUUAAUUAGUAUAAAUGUGAAACGAAUCGCUCGAUAUAUUCGUCCGGUCGGAGGAAUGAUAAUGAAAUUCGUGAAUUCUUGAGAUUUUGAUUCGCCGUCGACGGAGUUGAAGAGAAAGAGAGAGAGAGAGAGAGAGAGAGAGAGAGAGAGAGAAAGAGAGAGAAAAAAAGUAAAAUAUACGAGAAUGAGAAUAAGGAGAAGAACGAAGUACAUUGAGUGUUCGAUUUCAACGUGGAGUUUCGUGAACGUUUGGAGAGAAACUAGGACCAACAAUAUCACGUGGUUGUGCGAUCAUAUUAGUGAGGAUAAUAACAAGUGACGAUAUCUUGAUAUUUGAAAAAAAAAAAAAAAAUAAAAAGACAGAAGAAACACCAAAAAAAGAAAAAAACGAAGAAAAAGAGAAGUAUCGAUAAGAAGAAAAAGAAAAAAAUUCUCGCGUUUCAC